GUAGGUGGCAAGCGUUGUCCGGAAUUAUUGGGCGUAAAGCGCGCGCAGGCGGUCCUUUAGGUCUGAUGUGAAAGCCCACGGCUCAACCGUGGAGGGUCAUUGGAAACUGGGGGACUUGAGUACAGAAGAGGAAAGCGGAAUUCCAAGUGUAGCGGUGAAAUGCGUAGAGAUUUGGAGGAACACCAGUGGCGAAGGCGGCUUUCUGGUCUGUAACUGACGCUGAGGCGCGAAAGCGUGGGGAGCAAACAGGGAUUAGAUACCCUGGUAGUCCACGCCGUAAACGAUGAGUGCUAAGUGUUAGGGGGUUUCCCGCCCCCUUAGUGCUGCAGCUAACGCAUUAAGCACUCCGCCUGGGGAGUACGGCCGCAAGGCUG
rnacentral:rRNA from 1 species